rnacentral:rRNA from 1 species
GACGAACGCUGGCGGCGUGCUUAACACAUGCAAGUCGAACGGAAAGGCCCUGCUUUUGUGGGGUGCUCGAGUGGCGAACGGGUGUGUAACACGUGAGUAUCCUGCCCUUGACUUUGGGAUAACUUCAGGAAACUGGGGCUAAUACCGGAUAGGAGCUCCUGCUGCAUGGUGGGGGUUGGAAAGUUUCGGCGGUUGGGGAUAGACUAGCGGCUUAUCAGCUUGUUGGUGGGGUAGUGGCUUACGAAGGUUUUGACGGGUAGCCGGCCUGAGAGGGUGACCGGCCACAUGGGGACUGAGAGACGGCGCAGACGCCUACGGUAGGCAGCAGGGGAGAAUAUUACACAACGAGCGGAAGUCUGAGGCAACGGCGCCGCGUGCGUAAUGACCGCCUUCGGGGUAUAAACCGCUUUCGCCUGAGACGAAGCGUUAGUGACGGUAAUGGGUAAAGAAGCACCGGCUAACUACGUG